AGAGUUUGAUCAUGGCUCAGAACGAACGCUGGCGGCAGGCUUAACACAUGCAAGUCGAACGCAUCCUUCGGGGUGAGUGGCAGACGGGUGAGUAACGCGUGGGAACGUGCCCUUCAGUUCGGAAUAACCCAGGGAAACUUGGGCUAAUACCGGAUACGUGCGAGAGCAGAAAGAUUUAUCGCUGAAGGAUCGGCCCGCGUCUGAUUAGCUAGUUGGUGAGGUAAUGGCUCACCAAGGCGACGAUCAGUAGCUGGUCUGAGAGGAUGAUCAGCCACAUUGGGACUGAGACACGGCCCAAACUCCUACGGGAGGCAGCAGUGGGGAAUAUUGGACAAUGGGCGCAAGCCUGAUCCAGCCAUGCCGCGUGAGUGAUGAAGGCCUUAGGGUUGUAAAGCUCUUUCGUCCGGGACGAUAAUGACGGUACCGGAAGAAGAAGCCCCGGCUAACUUCGUGCCAGCAGCCGCGGUAAUACGAAGGGGGCUAGCGUUGUUCGGAAUCACUGGGCGUAAAGGGCGCGUAGGCGGCUUGAUAAGUCGGGGGUGAAAGCCUGUGGCUCAACCACAGAAUUGCCUUCGAUACUGUCUGGCUUGAGACCGGAAGAGGUAAGUGGAACUGCGAGUGUAGAGGUGAAAUUCGUAGAUAUUCGCAAGAACACCAGUGGCGAAGGCGGCUUACUGGUCCGGUUCUGACGCUGAGGCGCGAAAGCGUGGGGAGCAAACAGGAUUAGAUACCCCGGUAGUCC
rnacentral:rRNA from 1 species